rnacentral:rRNA from 1 species
UGGGGAAUAUUGCGCAAUGGGGGCAACCCUGACGCAGCAACGCCGCGUGAGCGAUGAAGGUUUUCGGAUCGUAAAGCUCUGUUCUGAGGGAAGAUAAUGACGGUACCUCAGGAGAAAGCCCCGGCUAACUACGUGCCAGCAGCCGCGGUAAUACGUAGGGGGCAAGCGUUGUCCGGAUUCACUGGGCGUAAAGAGCACGUAGGCGGUUAAUUAAGUCAGGUGUGAAAGUUUUCGGCUCAACCGGAAAAGUGCACUUGAAACUGGAUAACUUGAGUAUCGGAGAGGUAAGCGGAAUUCCUAGUGUAGCGGUGAAAUGCGUAGAGAUUAGGAAGAACACCGGUGGCGAAGGCGGCUUACUGGACGAUAACUGACGCUGAGGUGCGAAAGCGUGGGGAGCGAACA